AACUCGUGGUUCUGUCUUCCUAUUUAUUCCCCACCAAUGCCUCCACUCUUCCACAGACAAGUCAAAAAAUCCAAGUUAGGAAGGAAGGAAAAACAAAGAAAGAUCACACAAACCCUAGCGCUCUUUCUGCACCCUUCUUCUAUCCGUUUCCGGCGUGGUGGAGAUGGUGCCGCGGCGGCCGCCUUAGUUGGCAGCGGCGAUGGUGGUGGCGGUGCUCUUCCUGCGGCAAGUGAAGAUUUAGGGGUUGAAGCUGCCAGCAUGAUCUGAUUCUGUCUCUCUUUCUCUCGUUCUCUCUCUGCUCCCCCAAGAUCAGAUCAUGCUGCAGUUUCAUCCGCUAACAUCUGCACGAUUUUGAGGCGCAACCUCAACUAUAUACUCUGCAACAGCCAAGCGUAUAUGGAGAUUCGUGGUAGUAGACUUAGGCCCACUAAAACUGAGUCUGGCUCACCUAUCCUGGAGAAGAACACCCACCUGACGUCUCUUUUUGCUUACCAUAAGAUUGAUGAUGGGGAAGAUGGUCAAAUCAACUGCACAGCUCGUGCAUCUAUAGAAGGUCUUUGUACUUCAGCAGAAAAUGUCAGGCACCAUAAGAGCGUUACUCCGUGUGGUCCAUAUAUCCAAUUCAUCUUUGCUUAUUGCUAGUGAGCCCAGCACUUGCUGCACUUUCAUGGAAGCAUACGCUUCAGACAUUGACAUGCAAUACCGUUUCACAACUUUGCACUGCACAGUUCUGGAAGGCUCCAUUGACAUAUAGAAAGAGGAAAGCAAUUCGUUGUGUGCAUGUAUAUGUGCAAGCGUACAUGCAUGUGUGUGUAUACGUGGUCCAUUUGAGAUAAGGCCGACUCCUUCACAUCAUAGAGAGACAAACAAUGCAAGCGUCAACACAAGGAGACGAGAGAGAGAGAGCUUAAAAUAAUUCAUCAGAUUCUCUCUCCUCAGACGUCCAUACGCAAUAUCUCCGACUGCACAGAUAUGAUUCUGGAGCGCAAGGUACUGAUGCCAUCUCUUGACUAAAACUUCAAAAAAGAAGACUGAGGAAAAGGUCUGAUAAGACAUGCAAUUAUUUUUGUCUAAUUUGAUCUUCAAAUUCUUAUAAUUGAGUCAGUACGACAAGUAAAAAACUUUGUGAUUGGUUUCUUCCUUCCUCGUUUCAGCUACUGUAAUCAUAAGAAGAAUGAGAAAUAUUUCAUCACUCCACUCCUUUUUCGUCGUUGUUUCUUUAAUUUUCCAUUUUUUCCCUCCUGUU